AUUGAACGCUGGCGGCAGGCCUAACACAAGCAAGUCGAGCGGUAACACAGGGAGCUUGCUCCUGGGUGACGAGCGGCGGACGGGUGAGUAAUGUCUGGGAAACUGCCUGAUGGAGGGGGAUAACUACUGGAAACGGUAGCUAAUACCGCAUAACGUCGCAAGACCAAAGAGGGGGAGCUUCGGGCCUCUUGCCAUCAGAUGUGCCCAGAUGGGAUUAGCUAGUAGGUGGGGUAACGGCUCACCUAGGCGACGAUCCCUAGCUGGUCUGAGAGGAUGACCAGCAACACUGGAACUGGGACACGGUCCAGCCCCCUACGGGAGGCAGCAGUGGGGAAUAUUGCACAAUGGGCGCAAGCCUGAUUCAGCCAUGCCGCGUGUAUGAAGAAGGCCUUAGGGUUGUAAAGUACUUUCAGCGGGGAGGAAGGCGUUGAGGUUAAUAACCUCAGCGAUUGACGUUACCCGCAGAAGAAGCACCGGCUAACUCCGUGCCAGCCGCCGCGGUAA
rnacentral:rRNA from 1 species